rnacentral:lncRNA from 1 species
AUGGAAGAGAGUCCCAGCCAGGGCAGUGGAGCUGGCGGCAGGAAAUGCAGAUACAUCAGACCCUCUAAGAAAGGCCCUUUCUGGGGCCAGUGCUGUGGCAUGGCAGGUAGAGCACGCCACCUGCAGUGCCAGCAUCCCAUAUGGGUGUCAGUUCAAGUCCCGGCUGCUCCUCUUCUGAUCCAGCUCUCUGCUAUGGCCUGGGAAAGCAGUGGAAGAUGGCCCAAGUCCUUGGGCCCCUGCACCUGCGUGGGAGACCUGGAGGAGGCUCCUGGCUCCUGGCUCCUGGCUCCUGGCUUCGGAUCAGCGCAGCUCUGGUGGUUGUGGCCAACUGGGGAGUGAACUAAGGGAUGCAAGACCUCUCUCUCUCUCUCUCUCUCUCUGUCUCUCUCUCUCUCCAUCUCUCCGUCUCUCCUUCUCUCUCUGUGUAACUGUUGACUUCCAAAUAAAUAAAUCUUUAAAAAAAAAGAAAGAAAGAAA